AUUCAUAUGUUCCUUCGCAUGAUCGCGAGUGCAAUUGCUAUCAUUUAAUUUUGAAUUUUCAAAAAAGAUUUUUUGCUGUUAAAUUAAUUUCAUUAUUUAUGUUUUUUUCGUCUUUUGCAAAUACUUGUGCCUACUAAGAAUUCACAAUGGAAGAUGUGGUUAGACUUCUAGAGGAGUACAAUAAAAAAAAUAGUCAAGCAGAGCAAGAUCAAAUAUUACUCCAGCCUUUUACAUAUAUUAAAGAUUUACCCGGAAAAAAUAUUCGAUCAAAACUAUCAAUUGCAUUCAAUCAUUGGAUGAACAUACCACUCGAAAAACUUAAGGCUAUAGGGGAAAUUGUUCAAAUGUUGCAUAAUUCUAGUCUAUUAAUUGAUGAUAUUGAAGACAACUCAUGUUUGCGACGUGGUGUCCCGGUAACAAUCUACAGAGGGUGUUUUUCAAAUCUGGAAAAGAAAAAAUGAUGAUGGUGGGUAUCAGUUUAAAGAGUAGAAAAUUCUGUAACCAUUGAUGGUGUCAACACACCAUAUCGAAAUGAUGAUAUUCACGAAUCAUAUGAAAAUGCCUUUCAUUUUCUUGAAACUCUUCACCGAUUUCCGUGAGCCCGCACAUCCAACAUGUCUCUUGAUCCCAAUUUGAGAAUCUGCAGCUGGUUUGGCAGCUCCAAUGUUAAUGAUGGAUGGUUUGCGAUGUCUGUUGAGCAACAACAAAAACGUCAAAUUUUAUUAGUAAAAUAUUCCAAAGAAACAAAAAAACAAUCGCAAAUUCUUUCUAGCAUUGCGGCAAGUUUUGAGUCUAAUCUAAACGAGUCCCUGUUGGUAGCUUUGAAUUAACAAUUUAUGUCGAGACCAAGAGAUACAAACAAUUUAAAUUGAUUUACGCAUGAACAUUGACUAAACUUAACUAGUUUCCAUUACAUACAAAUAAUAGGUCAAAAAAUCACCAACUCAAAGGAUGGCUAUAUCACAGUCAAUGUUGCUAUAAUUACAAAAAAAAUGUGUAAAAAUCACAGUUAUAUUUUUUCAUCACAAAUAUUUUCAUUUUGUUUAACACCGCCAAUGACUGGCUGAAUUUGGUUUUGUACAAUAUUAGCAUAUAAUUUGUAGUUAUAAUAGUCUUUCUCGAUGGGAAUAAGGAUUUGGUUAGACUGCUCCAAAAAAAACAGUUGUCCCUCAUAUAAAAGGCCUGGGCAGUUUCGAAAAAUAUACUUCAAAAAAUAGGUUUGGCGCAAAGAUUGCAUAUGGGUACCAUAUAAAAACCCAUGGCAAGCCCCAUAUCAAAUUUUUCAUUACAGCGAUUUCGAAAGCCAUUUUAGAUCGCAACAUUUCGACCGAUUCCAGUAUUCUAACCAAAUUUCGGAAAAAACUGAUGAUGAGGUUCUGUUUGGCUCGUCAAUAUCUACAACUUUUACCAAGACAUUGACCAUUGAAAAGGCAUCAUGGGCCAGUUGCAGUGUAAAAUGACCGGAAAAAUGGCAAUUUUCCGGUAUUUUUUACAUUUUUUGCUCCACGAGUCACCCAGGCGGUGAACUUUCAUUCAGGUUUUGACCUGUGUCGUGUAGCCAGAACCUGUACAAACAUUUCGGUACUUGUCAGAUUGCGAUUUGGAUGGAAUUUGGCGACAAUUGAUUCACACAUCUAUAGGUGCGAUCAAGAGUGGUGUAUGUUUCACUGACUUUGUUGUGAAGGAGAAGAGUAAGUUUCUUUCGACUUAAAAAUGGUUAAAAGGCGAGUAUGUUCAUUUUUGAUGGGUCCUAGCGGUUUUUCACGGUUUCCGCGGAACUGAUAACAGAUAACAACUUAGUGUCUUCGGCAAAGUUGUAAUACUCGAGGUCUUCUAUGACAUUGCUGACAGUGAUCUCUUAUCUCUUAUCAGUUCCCCGAAAAGUGCGAAAAAUGAUAAGAAAAAAAAAGUUCUAUAUAAAAUUUGCUUUUGCGCGCAACUGAUAAGAGAUAAGAGGUACCUGUCUUCAGCAAUGUUAUAGAGGACCUCGAGUACUACAACAGUGCCGGGGGCACCUUGUUGUUAUCUCUUAUCAGUUGCGCGAUAACCGUGAAGACCGCGGAGGCUAGACGGUACUCCAACAUACUCUACUUUAACGCUAGCAGAAUCAUCAGAAAACAUACUCGUCUUUUUCUCAAAAUAAGUCGACAAAAAAUACUUAAUCCACUCUCGAUCUCACCCAUAGAGCAAAUCACAAACAUGAGCUUCGAUUUGACAGGUAAAGGCCAAUGAUUUCUACCUUUUCUGCUUUGAACAUCUAGUAUGAUCCUUUACGAAUAUUUUGGGUACUUAUAGACCAAAUCGAGUGAUGUUUUCACAUAUUUCUGGCCGCAUAUUCGGUUGGUUCGAUUUUAACUCUAAAAAAAUCGACUUUUUGCCAAAAAAUCCUUGAAUAUAGGCUUUUCAGGGAUGAUAUCUUGGCGCAAAGUUAUUUUUUCUCGAAAAUAUGUGGAGCCUACCCAGACAAAAAGUUUAUUUGUCAAAAACUCUCAAAAUUGACUUUUUAAGGUACCUCCCGAACAAAAUUUAUCGUCAAAAGUCGAUUUUUUGGGAGUUGAAAUCGAAUAUGCGGCCAGAAAUAUGUAAAAACAUCACUCGAU